UGCGCCACCAGGGAAGCCCUGACCUUAACAUUUUUGAAGAGUACUGCUAAAAACAUCUCAACUGAUAUAACAAACUUGCCCUGUAGGGUGAUGGAUUAAGCAGAAGGCUUGAAUCUAUGCUACUCCCUGUGUGGCCACGCUCCCAUUGGAUCAACCCAACCAGAAGACAGAUGGCAAAGGAUUCCAGGUGAUACAGUCUGUAGAGGUCAGCCUCCUGGGGAACAAGGAAUCACCUCAGGAUGCACGUGGCAUGAAAGAGGUCCAGAAGCCCUUAUGUGCUCACGGUGAGGAAAAGAGAUUGCUGAGAUGCAGGAAAAACAAUCCAGCGAGCAAAAUGUCAUCAAUGCAGUGGCCCAGUGUGAUGCUUUGUGGACUCUCAAGACAAUCAAGAUCUCUGUGGAUUAUGUUAUGGCAGAGAACAGGAGAAUUGAUGUGUUCUUGAGGCAUGGCUGGGAAGGUAGACUGUCGUCCCUGAUAGGUAAAAGCAAGCUGCUUCUGAUUGUCCUUAUACAUUGGUAUGGGGUGCAGGGAGGCAUUAGGCAUAAGUCGCUGCUUACUAAGUGCCGGGGCCGUGUUAAUUGUUCCAGUAAAGAUACUGCACCUGAAGCAGCAACUUCAGUGGGGAUCACCACCUGAUGAAGUUUAUAAUAGUUAGGAUCUCAUUUUUCAAGAUCCAUCUGACUUCUGCAUGGGAGAAACUGGAAAGCUAAAUGGGAGAUAUAAUAAGUAACAGUAUUCCUACUUUUUUCAAGAUUUCAAAGGCAUUAAUCUUUGCAAUUUCCCCAGUGAUGUGGUAUUGCUUCCGAUUCACCACAGCAGUAAGAGGGGAAGUUCCAAGUGUUUCUGCUUAGUCUUUCCUACCAUAAUGAUCCUCAUCCCAUUGCUCAGGGAGCCAAUAUGGGGAUUCUGCAAGUUGUCAAGUAUGUCUAUUUAAAUAACAAAUUUAGAAACUGAGAACAUAACCCACAGGGUAGAUUUGUGGACAGACUGGGUCUACCAUGAUUCUGACUUGAGCUGAAAUGCUAUUACUUGACACUACAACCCCAUUUUGGACCACAGUAACAUUUUGGGUCCCCAGGAAUUAGCAUCAGUUCAGGGCCCGUGGAUAGUAAUCUCUGAAAAUUUCUUUUUCCUUAUAACACAGUCACUCUAGCAAGUGGCUGCAGGUCCUUUGGGGGAAUGCUUAGAGGAAGAUUCACUGUGUGUACCUGAGACAAUAGUGCAGAGCCAUUCUUCAGUAAUACCCCACAUCCCCUACAAUAGAAGGGCUCUAUGUGUGUGAAUUGACUUAGGUUUCAAAACUGAGUGAGAGCCAUGACUCUUCACAGUCGAGACUGCCAGAUUUUUGGCUACCAGAUCUAGAAUUUUUCCUGUUACAGAAGUCAAACAGUUCUCUAGUAGGGUGCCCAUCUAUUUCAUUCGUAGGACUCCAUGAUCAAUUAAACAUUAUCAAAGACCUCUGUGGACCAAGACGUUCUACUUACUGGGACAUUCCCUACUGCCCUUUAAGAUAGAUGUGCCCACCUGGUCUUAGUUAAGUGCUGCCAUUUGUCUUCCGCUACUUCAGGAUCCCAUCAUUUUCAUUGGAAUCAGGGAGCCUGUAUCAAUGGUGACACUCCCUGUGGUUGAAUCUGUCAUUCAAAGAGAUCAACCACAGAGCUUUCAGGGACACAUGUGCUCCCCUCUUGAGGCCUUAGUCAAGGCAGUGUCUCCUGGGCCUUCUCAUGGAACACAGUUGGUGGGUGGGUGUGCAGGCUGCACAUGAUAAAUCCAGUCAAAACUUCUCAUGUCCCUAUGCCUUUGAAUUUCCUCCUCCAUGUAAUUCAGGCAUAUAAAUCCAGGCUCUGGCAUCCCAGUCUCAUUAGAUGACACUCACUGCUGGUUCAAGUUUUAGUCAGUCACCAAGUAAGCAGUUAGAGACAUCUCCAGGGGCAUGAGAUGACACAUUAGAUCUGGAGUCUCUAUUAAGAUCAACAGUGUCAAUGAAUUUGCUCACUAUGGUGCUCUUGGUCUCCUUAUUCAUGAACAGGGGCUGGUUGUCCCUCUGCAGCCAUCACUCAGGACCCUGUUCACACCUUAGGUGUGUCUUUUAAAAAACAAUAAUUAGGGACUUCCCUGGUGGUCCAGUGGUAAAGAAUCCGCCUUCCA